AAAAAAAAACCCUAAUUUUUUCAUCCAAAAUUUUCCUCAUCGUUUCUCCCAUCCACAAUUUCUUCAUCUUGGUCGCACACUUCUCCAAUCACACCCAAAAAUCCAGACGACCAUUCACCACACUCACCACGCCCAAGCAUUCAAUGGCCCGUCCACCACUCCCAAGCUCCUACAGCAGAUCAUCUGCGCGUGCACGAAUAUCCCACCAACGGCUGUGAUACCCACGUUCGGUCUCUUUUGCUCAAGCACUACUGCCACACGCACGAUCACCCUUCGUUUAAUCGACCACACGCCGUCGUUGUCUAUGUCCAAUCAUCAUUGUCGUUGUAGCUUUGACACCGUCAUCAUCUACAAGGCAACGCUCCAAAAAAGUUUGGACUUUUCACAUUUCAAGCUACUUGGUCAAGAGUUUCCUUAACUUUCGGUAUUCCAAUGGUACAUCUCUGUUGGUUGAGAAUGGAAAGUUUCUUCUUUCUGCGAAGCAUACACGAAGAACUAUUAGCACAGAGUAUAUUAUCUCAAUGGAUGUUGAAAAGAUUUUGAGAUCAAGUAGCUCUAGCUUACAUUGGAAAACUAAGGUGAGACCGCACUUGAUGAACAACUAUAUAAUUUAUCGUUUGCAUACUUUGCUGUCUGUGUUAAUAUAAUUACAACACUACAAAACUUCACACUUCUUAGGCCACAAAUUAUGAUUUCAAUUAUAUGUAGUAUACAUUAAGUCUGUGAGAAUGACAUAAUAAUAUAAAAACAUAGGUCUAUACAUGAGGUAAUAUUUUGGUUGUCCAAGCUGCCGGUUGGAAUUAAAGUAAUGUUCUAUGUCAAUUAGGGCUUGCUUAAGUUAUGUCAUUUUAGUUAUAUUCAAACGCCUAUUUCAAUUUUUAACCAGAAAAAAGGUUUCGAUGGCUCUACUUAUUCCUUUAAAUGUUAGUUAAGAGAAAAUCAUCUUAUGGCAUUGGCUUCAUGAACCCUUCAACAUAUGAUAUUUGAGAUCAUAAUAUGUUUUUUACUUGUAGAAAGAAUUUGGUUGCAAAUAUUGAGCUUUCAAUUUUAUUUAUUUUUCCUACACUUCUACUCUUUUAGGCAAUAGCGUUUCAUUUUUCUUUUUAUCACCUUAUAGGAUGCAUCAUUCUCAUAGGAUGUUUCUUUAAUCCAUUAAUUCUGGCAUGACUAUAGAAGUAUAAAUAUCAUGUAGGUUCUUGUCAAGUACUUUAUGGAGAUAAGUCCUAAUGCAUGCCUAUAAAUUAUUGACUAUUUCUUCUACUUCCAACAUUUGUUUCUCUCUCUCUUUCACUUUUUAUUGUUUCUAAUACUAACGGUUUCAAGAGGAAAAAUCCAAUGUCAAACAAGGGUGGGUUACAUCUGACAGUAAGUGGGUUACAUCUAUUAAUUUACAACUUUUCAAUUAUACGGUACAAAAAGAUAAACUACCCAUAUAAAGGAAAGCAACGCUUGUUGUUGGAUUUCGUUCUUUUUUGUAGUAACAAGUUUGAAUAGAUGAAAGACCCUCCAUGUUGAUAAUUUGUUGUAGGAUGGUUGUUUUUUGUAGCAUGUUGAUUUUAUUUACUAGGAUGAUAUUUAAACCGAUAGGUUAUAUAGACACACACACCACUUGUUUAUAUAAACCCACACGCAUAGGUACACAACCAAACAAAACCAAUUGGAACCAUCAAUAUGAAUUUUUGUAUCAUUCAUAACUUCAAAUUUUUAUUUUUCUGAAAGUCAUUUAACUUCUUUCCAUUGUUUGCAUAUACUUUUUUCAUUUCUUAAUGAUGUAGUUUGUUAGAUUAAAUGUUAGAGCUAGGUAGAACAAUAUCUUCCUACGGUAGAAGUUUGAGCUAUUGUAAUUAAGCAUGUAACGACUAACUAUAUAUAUGAUUCGGUGAUAUAUGUAAUAAUUUGUUAAAGUAUUAGUUAUUUGAUGAAAAGUUUGGGUUGAUUUAA